AGCCCUGAAAACAAAAGCUAGUCACAGCACAAGUCAGCUGUCCCAGAAGCUGAAGACGACAUACAAGGCCUCCACUAGCAAGGUAUGAUUGUAUCUACUUUCAAAG